rnacentral:lncRNA from 1 species
GACCAAUUCAUAUAUACAUAGAACAAACAAAAUACAAAAAUAGACACCUCACACCAUUAACAGAGGGCAACACACACUUGCCCUUUCGAAUAAAAACCUCACUGAAGUACUCACAGAGGGAGAGCACACUGACCCUCACGCAUAUCACACACACACACUUUAUUUUUUUUUUCUUCUCCACCGAGAAAACACACCCAGAUAUACACCAUUACACCACUCACACGGAGAUGGAAUACGUGCACACUCUCACUGAUUGAAGAGGUCACCAUUUUUCUAUUUUUCUUUAACAACGCACGACAACACCAUGGAGAGAAUACCUACAAAAAUAGAGAAAAGAAAACUCAAAUAAAACACACUACAAAUUGAAACCUCACCGGAAAAGUUCACUCACUCACUCACGAAUAGCUCACCAUACGCACACACGCCGUGUAUAAACACGCCACACACUGAAAACCGAGAGUUGAGGGUGUGAUCGGAGUAAUCGAGAAAGUGCGAUUCGAGUGAGAGAGAGAUCAAAACAGAGAGAAGGAUCGAAAGAUUGAGAGCAAAACACAAAGGGGAACCGAUUGGGAAGGAGGGUGGUGCGAUCGGAUUCCGGCAACGUCCAUCGAAAUCGUGGUUUGGUUCGGUUCUGCCUGAAAUCGGGUCGGGCUUUGGAUUUAUCCGUCUUCGCGAUUCAUUUUCAAUAUUGUGAUUCUCGGGUUACUCGAUUCAUGCCCGCGGAUUUCUGUUCGAAUUGGAUUUCGUGAAUAUUCCGUGUUUGGAGUUCGGUUGAUAGUCGAGUCGGUAUUCGUUGAGGUUCUCAGUACGGCUCUUUAUUCUCUUAUUCAAAUCAAUCGAAAGAGUCAUUGAGGUCCAAUUCUAUUUCAUUCUCAUUUUGAUUUCAUUAUAUACGCAUGAUUGAUGGAUAUCAUCUCAAUUUUCUCUUAUUUUAGGUGUGAUAUGAAUGAUUAAUUUGGAAUUAUUUGAUUGUGGAUUUUUGAAAAAUGGUAAUCGUGAACUGUUAUAUUGCAACUUUGAAUAAAAUUUGGGGGAAUUGAUAAUCGAAUAAGUAAAACGUUGAUUAGUUUUGAUUCAUUGUUGGAUAUUAUUGAAAUUGAUAGUAUCAUGUUUUAGAUCGUUAAAUGUGUAGGCAAAUACUAAGUUUGGGUAGGCAAAUUGUAGAAAUGGAAGAUGGUGACUUGUGGAAUGUGUGAAUAUUUGUUGAAUGGUUCUUUCUAUUUUAACGCAUAAAAUUGAGGAUGUAUUCAUUUUGCCGGGGAAUGCCCCGAGGUACUUGUAUCCAUUCAUCGAGAAAUAUUCCGACAUAUCAUGUACGCAAAGAAGGUUCGUGAUGAAGGCUUGAGGCAUCGGGUAAAGCAUUGGAGUAUAGUUUAGGAUUAGUCUAAAUAGGAUUUCUAUUUUUGUAUUGUUCUAUUUUUGGACUGUAUAAUUCGUACUGGACAUUAUUUUGAUUUUUGAAUUUUGAAUUGCAUGACAUGUACUUACUUUUUUUAAUAUGUGAAUGUGAAUUAGUUGAUUAACUUAAUUAUUUUAUGUAAAUAUUAAUGGCCUAAGUUUUGCCUAAAAUUGAUGAAAUUAUAUAAAUAAAGAAUAUCCCGACCGACACCCAAAAAGCAAAAUUUUCACUAUUUUUUUUUUGUUAUUUAUACAAGUGUGAGAAUAUAAAAUACAAUAUAAAAUUUAAGGGCCUCUUUGACUGCAACUCCCGACGAAUAUUUCAAAAUAACCUGUAUAAACACUAAAAAAAAAAGAAUAUUAGUAACAAAUAAUCAAAAUAAAUUGAACAAGCAUCAAAAUAAAUUGAACAAGUGUGUAUGCGUAUAAAUAUUUAAAAAUAUAUUUUUUAUUAAAAAGUGGGCUCAGAUAAUGUCAUGACUGCGAAAUGGUUGCUCAAUUAAUUGGCCGUUCUAAAUCGUCUUGCAACGAAGUGGUUGCUCAAUUAAUUGGCCGUCCUAAAUCGUCUUGCCAAGAUAUGAAUUGUAAAAUCUUGUGUUAUAAAGUUUCAUCAUCGCCCAAAAAAUAUUUAUUUAUUACGUAUGUAUACGUAAAAAGUCCGUCUUUUGUUUACGGAUGCCUCAAAAUUAAUAAUAAUUUUUUCAUUGGCCAAAUGUGUAGUAUCCAUUCACCAUCAGUGUAAAUAAAUGAGAAGGACAAAAAUCGUUCAAAAAUCACUCCAACAGCAGCAAACUCAAGGCAAACAAAAAUGGUCAAUAACAGUGAUAGUAAAAUAGCAAAGCUAACAGAGACAAACUCACUAUCUAAUUAAUUCAAAUAUCCAUCCAAACGGCUUUGACUAGAUCUGUGUAGUAAGAAAAAUAUUAGAGAAAAGGGGCGGCUCGUGGCUGUUUCUCGAUGUUGGUAGCGACUGUUGUAGUGGUUGACGGCGGCAGAUCUGGGAAGAAAUUCGAUGCUCAUCGGUCAUCACCUCCGGCUAGCUUGCGGCAAAAUGUAAAGGGAAAGCUUGUAGCGUGGGGGGUGGUAUUGUCGGACGGCUGUUUCAGGGAAGAAAAUUGUGUGGAGGUGGCGCGUGAGAUUGGAUGAACUGUUGAUAUCUACGGAGAAGACGAAAGCUUAAAAAUGAAAACUGUGUAGUAGGCAUCUAUAUAUAUAUUUAUAUGUGUGUCAUUGCUGUUGAUGGUAAAAAAUAAAACAAAAAUGGAGGUUGUUUUUCUAUGUAUGUGUGUGUUUAUGUGUUUUUAUAUAUAUUUUUUGUGAGUUUUUGAAGAGAAAAAUGAAAUAAAUAAAAUAUGCUUGUAUAUUUAUGAAUAUGUGUGUGAGUUUGCAAAGAAAAAAUGUUUAUGAGUUGUAAAAAAUAAAUAUAUGUGUAUUUUGAUAGAGAGGAAAAAAAUGAACAAAAAUGUGUGUCCAAAAUGUGUCCUCCCACCAGCUAUUUAUACAAAAAAUUGAGCACACCUUUUAUCCAAUGUAUAAAGGAGUGUCCUCUCUUUUUAUAAUAAAACACUCUUAGGUCCUUAAGUUAUUGGCCAAAGGAUUUUCAUCCUUUUGACCAAUGGACAAAGUAAUUAUCCAAAGGGUAGUGUCAUUGAUUGGUCGUUGUCAGAUGUGAUGAGACAACACUGAAUGGUCAUUUUCGGACGUGACAAGACAUUAUUGUGUAGUCGUUGUCGGAUGUGAUAAGACAUCGAAUUAUUAUACUGCACAAAAAUAAUUGAUCCGAUUGAGUAUUUGCGGACUGUAAAAUAUAGAUGUUGAAUGAAAAAUGUAAAGAAUAUUAAAAUAUAAUUAAUUUAAAAAUACUAUAUAUAUAUAUAUAUAUAACGUCAUGUCGUGCACAUGCGCAAAUAUUUGUAAAAUAAUAAAUUGAUAAGAAUAAGAAAAAUUAUUAAUAAAUUAUAAAGAGUAAAAAAUCCUAAAGUAAGGAUGAAAAUCAAUAAUUUGUUAUCAAUUGUAAAAAAUAUGUGGAAGUUGUAUUUUGUGUCUUUUAACGGUCAGGAAGCCUGAAUACGUUAUUUUUAAGCACGGAGAGCAAAAAUUGGGUGUCAACAACUACGCGUGACCUGAUUCUCCCCUCUCGGAGGUGAGAUACGUAGGCUGCCCUAUUUUGGGAUCGUCCAACCAAAUAAAUAAUUUAGAAUCACCCAAUCAAAAGAAACUGGGGCAUGAUUUAAUCCUCGUUGUUUAAGUCGAUUCCAAAAGUUGUAAGUCCCACCCUACUUCAAGUGUCGUUUGGGCCUCAUGUCAUCUUUUUCUUCUAACCUUAUUCAAAAGCCAAGCUACAACCAAAGAAAGACCUUCAGAUCAAUCUUUGAGAAUGUUAAGACUAAGCAUGCAAUGAAUGAGAUGACACAUUUUAGGAACUACUUGUUUACCUCAGCAAUAAGAAUCGGAAUGAGAGAGUCUUAUUGGUGAAAACCCUCACGGGUACCGUAAGGCGAUGGUAAGUUGAGAGAAAUAAAAAUGAGAGUCUUAUUGGUGAAAACCCUCACAGGCACCAUAAGACGACUGUGAGUUGAGAGAAAUGAAAAUAAGAGAGUCUCAUUGGUGAAAAAACCUCACGGACAUAAAGGCAAUGGUGAGCUGAGAGAAAGGCAGAGGCUUGUUGGCGAAAAACCUUCAAGGCGCCACUAGCCGAAUGAGAUCUAAAUACAAUUGACCUAAGGAAGCAACUCAGUUUUGAGGCCAUUAACUCAAAAACAAUUGGUAGGAAGUUUGGAUGAAAAGGUCAAGCUGCUUAAUCCAAAAUGCAUGGCAUAUUCAUUAGAGUUGAUUGUCAUUUUUAGAUGAAUUUUUCAUUUCUUUGUUUUAAAGGGGGACAUUUAUUGUCGACAUUUAUUGUCUUUUCUUUCUUCUUUUUAUUUUUAUUUUAUUUUCUUUGGUCAGUUGUCCAAAUAAAAAUCAUUGUCAUUUUUAUCUUGUCUUGGAGUCAAGUCCAUGUCAAAACAAGUGAGAAAAGAUUUCAAAACUGCCUACCAGCUUCUUUAAUUGCACAAAGCAAGACAAAAGGGUCAGUACAUGAAAAAGACAUGAUUGUGAGCCGAAAUAAGGCAUACAAAAUUUUGUCAACAGACAAGUCUGGGAACUUAUGGAAAUACAAAAGAUCAAAGGGUUUAUCUGAAAAGCAUGGCAAAGCAGAGAUACUGUGUUUGUUUCAGAGUCGCUCUUAAUAAUCUGAGUUUGGGUCAAUGAUGCAGCAAGUCAAUGGCAUAUGCUAAUGGUUGGAAGCAAGGUUAAAUGUGACCGGGGCAAGAGCGAUUGCCGCGAAAGCUAAAGACACAAACCAGCCACCAUGUUUUUAAACUAACAAGUUUUUUUUUUGUAUGAAACAGGAACACAUGUUACCUUCAAAUCGAGAAUUUCAAAGCCUAAACAUCAAAAGUUGCAAUGCUCACCUACACAAAUGCAGGAGAUAAUAUUGUUGCACAGGUUUGGUAAUCAAAACCAUGGUAAAACUCAUCAUCCAAUAUCUCUAGGAGACACACUUCCUUGUUUGGAUAAUUCAAGAGACAUUUGUAAGGAGAUGCACUUCCUUGUUGGGCAAUGCAAGUGACAUUUGUAAGGAGACACACUUUCUUGUUUUGGUAAUUCAAGCAGCAUUUGUAAGGAGAUGCACUUUCACAUUUGGGUAUCUCAAGCGGUAUUUGUAAGGAGAUUCACUUCCUUAUUUGGUAAUUCAAGCAACAUUUGUAAGGAGACGCACUUCCUUGUUUGGGUAAUUCCAGCAACAUUUGUAAGGAGACACACUUCUUUGUUUGGUAAUUUAAGCAACAUUUGUAAGGAGACAGACUUUCUUGUCUGGAUAAUUUCAGCAACAUUUGUAAGGAAACGUAUUUCCUUGUUUGGGUAAUUCCAGCAACAUUUGUGAGGAAACACACUUCUUUAUUUGGUAAUUCAAGCGGUAUUUGUAAGGAGACACACUUUCUUGUUUGGGCAAUUCAAGCAACAUUUGUAAGGAGACACACUUCCUUGUUUGGGCAAUUCAAGUGACAUUUGUGAGGAGACGCACUUCCUUAUUUUGGUAAUUUAAGCGGCAUUUGUAAGGAUACGCACUUUCUUGUUUGGGUAAUUUAAGAGACAUUUGUUAAGAGAUGCACUUCCAUGUUUUGAUAAUUCAAGCGACAUUGGUAAGGAGACACACUUCCUUAUUUUGGUAAUUCAAGCGGCAUUUUUAAGAAGACGCACUUUCUUGUUUAGGUAAUUCAAAAUACAUUUGUUAGGAGACGCACUUCCUUGUUUUGGUAAUUCAAGCAACAUCUGUAAGGAGACGCACUUUCUAAUUUGGGUAAUUCAAGCGACAUUUGUAAGGAGACGCACUUUCUUGUUUUGAUAAUUCAAGAUACAUUUGUUAUGAGAUGCACUUUCUUGUUUUGGUAAUUCAAGCAACAUCUGUAAGGAGACGCACUUCCUUAUUUGGAUAAUUCAAGCGGCAUUUGUAAGGAGAUGCACUUCCUGAUUUUGAUAAUUCAAGCAACAUUGGAGCCCGCCCAAAGCACAGGGUGAAUAAAUGGAAGGUCAAAUAAAAAGGUGAAGAAAUUGAAAGUCAAAAAAUUGAAAAAUAGCAAGUCAGGAGCCCACCUGGAGAUCAGGUUGAAGAAAUUGAAAGUCAGGCAACACGUUGAAGAAAUUGCAAGUCAGGAGCCGGCCUGAAGAAUAGGGGGAUGAAACUCAAGUCAAGAGUCCAAAAGAAGCUACAUAGAUAGGAUUUUUGUAAUUUUAUUUAUGUUUUAACUUGUAAUUUUUUAUUUUUGAUGUAAUGACAGAGUCGUGGACCGAAACCUCGAUGGGACCUCACUCGACUCUCCAACUCGGUAUAGUCUCUCUUCUUCCAACCCUUUGAGAUACAUGUAACUUGAUUCCCUCAUAACUUGGGUAGAAAGGACGUCCUAAGACAAGACUUGGUUGCCUUUUUUCUUUCUGUUUCGUUCCUUGAAUAAUGGUUGGGUCAAAAUUUUGUCUCGUUAUCUACUUUUUUUUUCUGAAAACACUUUGUGUUUGCACCCAAAAAGGGGCAUGAUUUAGACACCUAAUUUUGCCCCUCCCAAAACCCAAUUCAUCUAUUUUUACCACACAUUAUCAUACACUCUCACCCAUGUGAUUACACCCCACAAAAAUACAAAAAAAAUUAACAGCCCUUAACAAAUCUCUAACAAACUUUAUCUUGUUUUAAUCAUCCUAACAACCUACCCUUACUCCACCCCUACCCCACCUCACCCACAUAACCACUCCUCCUCCACAUUUCUUUUCCACAAAGGAAAAUAGCAUAUACACACACAAAUUCCAUCCAAUUGGUGACCCACAGUGAAGAAAAACAUAUACAAAAGGCCAUUCCAUUUUUUCCUUUCUUCUUGACCAAUUCAUAUAUACACAGAACAAACAAAAUACAAAAAUAAAUACCUCACGCCAUUAAAAAGGGACAACACACACCUGGCCAUUCGAACAAAAACCUCACUGAAAUACUCACAGAGGGAGAGCACACUGACCCUCACGCACAUCACACACACACUCCAUUUUUCUUUUUCUUCUCUACCGAGAACACACACCCAGAUAUACACCAUUACACCACUCACACGGAGAUGGAAUACGUGCAUACUCUCACUGAUUGAAGGGGUCCCUAUUUUUUCAUUUUUCUUUAACAACGCACGACAACACCAUAGAGAGAAUACCCACAAAAAUAGAGAAAAGAAAACCCGAAUAAAACAUACUACAAAUUGAAACCUUACCGAAAAAGUUCACUCACUCAUAAAUAGCUCACCAUACGUACACACGUCGUGUAUAAACACACCACACACUGAAAAUAGAGAGUUGAGGGUGUGAUCGGAGUAAUUGAGAAAGUGAGAUUCGAGUGAGAGAGAUAUAAAAACAGAGAGGGGGAUCGAAAGAUUAAGAGCAAAGCACAAAGGAGAACCGACUGUGAAGGAGGGUGGUGCGAUCGAAUUUCGGCAAUGUCCACUGGAAUCGUGGUUUGGUUCGGUUUUGCCUGAAAUCAGGUUGGGCUUUGGGUUUAUUCGUCUUCGCGAUUCAUUUUCAAUAUUGUAAUUCUUGGGUUACUCUAUUCAUGCCCGUGGAAUUCUGUUCGGAUUGGAUUUUGUGAAUAUUCCGUGUUUGGAGUUCGAUUGAUAGUCGAGUCGGUAUUCGUUGAGGUUCUCGGGACAACUCUUUAUUCUCUUAUUCAAAUCAAUUGAAAGCGGCAUUGAGGUCCAAUUCUAUCUCAUUCUCACUUUGAUUUCAUUAUAUACGCGCGAUUGAUGGAUAUCAUCUCAAUUUUCUCUUUUUUUCGGUGUGAUGUGAUGAUUAAUGUGGAAUUAUUUGGUUGUGGAUUUUUGAAAAAAGGUAAUCAUGAACUGUUAUAUUGCAACCUUGAAUAAAAUUUGGGGGAAUUGAUAAUCUAAUAAGUAGAACGUUGAUUAGUUUUGAUUUAUUGUUGGAUAUUGUUGAAUUGAUAGUAGCAUGCUUUAGAUCGUUAAAUGUGUAGGAAAAUACUAAGUUUGGAUAGGCAAAUUGUAGAAACAGAAGAUGGUGACUUGUGGAAUGUGUGAAUAUUUGUUGAAUGGUUCUUUCUAUUUUAACGCACAAAAUUGAGGAUGUAUUCAUUUUGCCGGGGAAUGCCCCGAUGUACCAAAUAUCGUCAACAAUGAAAUAGAAAGAAUGAAAGAGUAGAAUUGGAUCUCAAAUGUUUCGAUUGUGGUUGCUCCUUUCGAUUAGAACCGUGUCCAAAGUCUCAAACUGAACCUCAAGAAUCAACAAGCUCAACUCGAUAUCGCAAGUCACCACCCAAACAGAUUUGAAACCAUCAAGCAAAUUCACUAUCAACUCUCGAAUCGAGGACUUCAAACAGAAAUAACAAACCCCAAAGAUGAAAUUUCAACCUCAAACCCCAAAAGUAAAAAAAAAACCCAGAUCGAAAUGAUUCAAUGAUAGACGACGACCCGAUUCCAACACAAAACCCACGAUAGACAGUGGACAAUACUCCGCUUGGUAUCGAGAAAUGAAGACCCAAAACAGACCACAACGAACCCAAAUCAAAGACAACGAACAACCCAAAUCCAAAAUGAAUCACAAAUCAAUAGCAAGAUUGCGAAUUCACAACCCAAAUUUAUUCAGACAGAUAUCGCAAAAACAAAGACCAACCCGAACCCAAUAUCGAUCUCCCUAAUCCUUCACUCACUGAUUUUUCCUAUCCACUGGUUUCUGCUUAUCUCCUUCGUUUCUCUCUCUCUCUUUGUUCUCUCUUAAUCCCCCGUCACUGGUAUGUGCGUGCGUUUUUGGGUGUAUUCGAAAAAAAAAGAAGAAAUGGGAAGGGAAUCGCGUCACCUCAUCUCCAAAGAAGGAGAAACCAACAAAAUGGCGUCACUGUGUAUCCAUCCCCCCUGGUUUUUGUAAGUGUGUAUGUAUAUAUAUGCUGUGGGAAUUCCUUGUAGUGAGAGUGUGGACGAUGGUGUCUCUCUAUGGAAGAUCAUCUAUGGUGUUCUUCCGAAAAAAAUGGUGGCUCUCAGUGUUGUGUUUUUUUCCCGAAAAAAAAAAGAAAAAGAAGCCCCCCCCCCCAAAAAUGUUUUCUCCUCUUGGUCUCUCCUUUUCACUGUAUCCAUUCUCCUCUUUAAUUUUAUUUUUUGCUUUUUCUUUAUAUUGUGUCAUAAUUGUAUGAAUAUCAUUGGUGGCUUGUGGGUAUAUGUGUGUGGUAUGUGUAAAAUUAGGUAUGACAUGUGGAAAGAUGAGUGUGGCGUGUGGCAAAAUGAGUAGGGCGAAUGAAAAAUAAGGGGUGAGGUAUUGAGGUGACAUGGUGAAGUGGAUGCAAAUAGAAAUAAAAAUAAAAAUAGAAUAAAAAUAAAAUAAAUAAAAUAAAAAUAAAAAUAGAAAUAAUUAAAAUAUUUUUUUUGGGAUGGACAAAAUUACGUGUCUAUAUAUUGUCCUGUAUCAGUCUGUUUAGCACAAAAACAACUUGACUUGGAUCUAUUAGUGAUACGAGUACGACCACGAGGAUGCACGUAUGUGAGAAUGCAUUGGACCCGUCCAAUAAAGCAUCCAAUUCAGUGUGGAGAAGACCUUGUAUCACACCAAAACCGACCCUAAACUUGCACUCCAAGGGCGCGCUUUUCAUUAAAGGGACCUUUUGGUCAUUUUACCUAUUAUUUGUAACAUACUAUAAAUAGAAUAAUGUAGGGUUUUAGUCAUUAGUUUUGAUGAAUAUUAAAAGUUGUAGACACUUAGACAUUUCUCUCUUGUGAGAAAGGCCCCUAUGGCCAAACAUUGUAACUAGGGAUUUCAACUUGAGUGUGGAAUCACUUGUGUUGGAUUCAAGCUUGGAAAUGUUGGAUGCUUGGGAGAUCGAGGUCCCUCUUGUGCCA